CCCUUAGAUGUCCGGGGCUGCACGCGCGCUACACUGAAGGAAUCAGCGUGCUAAAACCAUUGUCGAAAGGCAUUGGUAAACCCAUUAAAAUCCUACGUGAUUGGGAUCGGGAAUUGCAAUUAUUUCCCUUGAACGAGGAAUUCCCAGUAAGUGUGGGUCAUAAGCUCGCGUUGAUUACGUCCCUGCCCUUUGUACACACCGCCCGUCGCUGCCCGGGACUGAGCCGUUUCGAGAAAAGCGGGGACUGCUGCUGUCGGGGCUUUCGGGCCUUGGCUUCGGUGGAAACCGCUUUAAUCACAGUGGCUUGAACCGGGCAAAANUCGUAACA
rnacentral:rRNA from 1 species